rnacentral:rRNA from 1 species
CUCCUGCUCAAUGGGUAGCUAAAUAGCCGCAGUACUCUGACUGUGCAAAGGUAGCAUAAUCAAUUGGCCUAUAAUUGAGGUCUGGUAUGAAAGGACGUAUGGGUAUUAACUGUCUCUAUUAAGGUGAUUGAACUUACUAAAUAAGUGCAAAUACUUAUAUUUAAAUAAAAGACGAGAAGACCCUAGAAAUUUUUUAAAAGAAGAUAUAAUACAUCAUAACUAUUUUGCUGGGGCGGCAGAGUGACAGGAAACUCACUUAUAUUUGUAGGAAGCUUACAGAAUAUAUAUAAUUACUCUAGGGAUAACAGCAUAAUUAAUUUUUAGUUUGUGACCUCGAUGUUGGAUUAAGACUCAAGUUAUCUAGAAGAUAAUUUGAUUUGCUCUGUUCGAGCAGCGGCCCUU